UACGGAGGAUGCGAGCGUUAUCCGGAUUUAUUGGGUUUAAAGGGUGCGUAGGCGGACUGUCAAGUCAGCGGUAAAAUUGAGAGGCCCAACCUCUUCCCGCCGUUGAAACUGGUGGUCUUGAGUGGAUGAGAAGUACGCGGAAUGCGUGGUGUAGCGGUGAAAUGCAUAGAUAUCACGCAGAACUCCGAUUGCGAAGGCAGCGUACCGGCAUCCAACUGACGCUGAGGCACGAAAGCGUGGGGAUCAAACAGG
rnacentral:rRNA from 1 species